UACACAAAAAAGUCUUAACAUCCAAUGCAUGUUUGAUUUUCAUGUUAAUUUAUAUUUUAAGGCAAUUUAGUUGUUUUUUGCUGUUGCAUGUAACAUCAGACCACUAGACGUGAAGGGUUCUAAUACGAUGAGGGCAUUUCUAUCCCCAACAUGUGUAGGGUCAAUCCUAUCAACAUUGAGCAAGAUCAAGCUGGAUUUUGGCAUCCCCUCCAGUCUCUAAUGGAGACUAUUGGAGCUUAUGGCAGCAGCAGCAAUUGAGAUGUGUUGUCAAGUGACAUGUGUUUACAGACAACACAUCAGUGGUCUCAUAUACUGACCACCAGGGAGGAUUACGUCCGUGCCCCCUGAUGCAACUAAUUUUUUUCUGGGCAUAGGGAAAGUUUUGGCAGUGAGUGCAAUGUAUAUUCUGGGCAACUGGAUUGUGGGGGCAAACAUCCUGUUGAGGCAGGGGCUGAGGCACAGGGAUUAGUGGCUCCAUCCACAAGUGGGGGAGUCCGUAUGGAGGAGAUUUGGCCAAGUGGGACUGCAUGUGUUCACCUUCAAGGAGACAACACACUUCCCAGGCUGGACGCCAUUGUGCACAUGUGGCAGAGGUCACAUCCGUACGCUUUUCUUCCUAUCGCACAGUUCGCAAGUUCUAGCGAUAGUUCACCAAGACAGUCUACGUCUGCUGCUAGUAGCACCUUAUUGACCAGCUUGAAUGGCAAGUGGUACGUAAAUGUGUUGUUAUUUAUAAGUAUUCGCGCCUAUGUAUGAUGUGUUAUGUAUGUGUAGAAUGAUUAUGCUUUUAUUUUACACAAAGGAUCGAACUGAGGUGGUGCGGUUCCACGAGUCAGGUCGGAUAACCCUGUGCUCAGUAAGUAUUGUAAUAGUUAUUUGACGGCUAUGUUUGAAUGUGGUCUUAUGCUGUUUAUUAUGUUUUUGUUUGUUUGCGUUUACUGCUCAAGGAUUGUCAAAUCUUGUAAACAAGAUCAACGAUCCAGAGUUCAGAAACCGUGUGGUGGGUGCUAGUGAUCGGUGCAUAUCAACAGAGUCUAGAAGGAAUAAGUGUAAAACAGUUACGGUCGCACAGGUACAUGCGCCGACUGCCGAUUGUUUGAGAGACACAGACUUAGUGACGCCUACAACGCCUCAGUGUAAGCGCUCAAGACGUUCCCCAGGACUGGCAGAUGAAUCAGUUGUGAAUGAACGGAUGCUGCUGAACCGUGUGAUAUAGAUUACGUUUUGAACUGGGAUCACAAGUUGUUAGAAUUGUGGGACACUUGUGCAUUUUCCCAGGCUCAUGGAGAAACGCAUGCCUGACUGCGGGAGACAAUGACUCUGAGGCUCUACCUUCAAACUAAGAAGCUUAUAAUCACGAGUCACUGGCUGUUAUAGACAAUAGAGCCUUAUUUGAACUAAUAGAAAACGGGUUCAAGACCGUCGAGGGGUGUAUUGCAGACCUUGAAAAGCCUUCUGUUGUCGUCGAGGAGCGUCUGGACAGCAUUGAGAAGAAGCAGAAUGUUUAUAAUCAAUCUGUGAUGGAGACUUUACAGCAACACACCAUCUCACAUAAACAUAUUAUAGCUACACAGAGACUCCAUGCUGGGGAGAAUCGCCACGUUGGUCAUGACCAAAACCUGAUGACAGAGUUGUUAAAACAGGUUGUACACAUGCUUUAAAAAAAACUAACUCCGAAUACUUUGACUCACCAUGGAUGCAGCAGGAAGACGGCGUGGACAUCAUGCCAGGGAAAUCAAGGAAACUGUGCCAGCCUUGGAUUCAGUCCAUUUUCCUCAACGCACUGCCAUGAAGCUCCCAGAUCCUUAUGAUGGGUUUUUUAGCUAUCUUGAAUAUUUUCUUGUGGACUGCCAGUUUUAUUUUGCUAGUCUAGCAGACCCCAAGCUGGAGGAGAAGGAAUGGCUCAAGUUCAUGUGGUCCCGGUUCUUUGUACAUCCCUGCCUGCCUGCCAGGGAGUCAGGGAACUUGGGAAUGUAAUCCAGUUUGUGGGAAUUUUUAUGACACUGUUCGGGAGUCCAGAAUCUAAACCCAACCUGGAACAUUUUUUUUUUUGGGGGGGGGGUUCAGCCUGGCAGAUAAACCUGCCUUGACAUUCAUCACCUAUUAUAUGUAGGCAAAGAGGAUGGCCCCCACACCAGAGCUCCAACCUGAGACCCAUGAAGUGGUCUCAGCCACAGAGCUCCAGCCAGAGGUCAACAUGGUGACCUCUCAAGCCCAGUUCCUGUCUGAGGUCAAAGAGACGACCUCUCAACCCCAGCUCCUGUCCGAGGUCAAAGUGAUGACCUCUCAAGUCCAGUAUCUUUCCGCGGUCGACGAGAUGGCGUCUCAUGCCAAGUUCCUGCCCAAAGUCGAAGAGACAAUCUCUCCUGCCAAAUUCCUGUCCGAGUUCGAAGAGACAACCUCUUAAGCCAAGUCCCUGUCUGCGGUGGACAACGUGAUCUCUCACACCAAGUUCCAGUUUGAAACUGACGCCACGACCAUCCAAGUUAUGCUCACACCUGAUAUCGACGUCACGACCAACCAGGUUGUGCUCAUGCCAGAGUCUGUUGACAUGACCAACCAAGAUCUCCUGCUGCCUGAAGCUGACGUCACGACCAACCAGGUUCUGUGAGCUAGCAUUUGGCUGAAUUGAGAUGUCAGCCAAUAAGACACUAUUAUUUCUGGCUGGUCUUGCCUCUGUUCACAUAAAAUACUAUUUUAAUAAAAUACAACACUUUUUGAUAAAAGUGUAUUUUGAUCAAAUACAACACUUCAUUCACUUAAGAUAUUGGUAUGAUAGCUUUAGGACUGCAAUUGCCACAAACAGUUUUGCAAUCAAGUCUCGGUCAGUGAACAGUGGAUUCGCUCAACAAAACAGACUUCACGUACAAACUGUAUAGACAAAAUCUUCAUCCUCAUAGCCAUCAUCCAUUUUUGCAGUCUGUGGGCACAGUAUUCUUUCUGCAAUU